ensembl:snRNA U6 U6 spliceosomal RNA
GUGCUCACUUCAGCAGCACACAGACCAAACUGGGGGUGGUAUCGAGAAGAUUAGCAUGGCCCAGCACAAGGAUGACACACACAUUGGUGAAGCAUUCCAUAUUUUG